UCUUUGCAGAUGUGGGCCAUCCUGAUUACAGUGGUGGUAGUCCUUCUCAUCAUUAUCAUUCUUUGGAGUGUGUAUGGGUGACCAGCAGAAGAUUAAAAUCCUUGUUCAACCUCUAAAAUUCUUCCAUUUGACCUGCUCUGUUGCCAAGCUUUUCGUUAAGGGUGCACAAAUCAAUUUAUUCGGGACUGCUGUGUUUGAUAACUCUUUAUAGUUUGAGUGACGGACAGCUCAGAAGUAUGCAAGCUGCAGGAGAAAAAACUUCACGCCUCCAUCUCGGUCACGUGCUAAAAUGGUCAUUUCUUUGACAAAUUCAUAUUAUUCCUGUCCCGGUUAGACUGUAAGGAACCGAGAAUCAGUUCAUACUUCUGUUUUCCUUAAAUUAAUCAAUUU